ensembl:lncRNA
CACUUCCUGAGGUGAAAGGUCAUGUGUGGUGAGGGAGUAUCUACUGAGCAAACUGAACGGAGGUACAGCUCAAAACUUUGUGAAAUUUGGAGGAUGAGGAUAUUUCACAGUUCAAAAAGGAAGACCAGUUACAGAAUUCUGCGGUUACGGAGUGAAUGCUAAAGAAAGAAAGAAAGUGAUGCGGUUCAGAAACAACUUGAGGACAUCAUCUCACCCAAACACCACAGAGCCACGACAUCGCUUGAGAUUAACCCUGAGCUAUGCAGUCACCUUGAACGGAGAGGCUCAUGGGAGGUAAUUGUGCUCUGACAGAGCCUGUGGCGCUACAGGCGAGGAUCCCCCUCCACACACUCCCAUACGCACACAAAUAUACAGACCACUCGCCUGUCAUUAAAGCCUGAAGCAAGAGCCCCCUCAGGGACAGAGAUGGAUGAGGUGUCAGUCCUGAACCUGUCCACAGAGACACAGGGACCUGUCAACCCGACCAAACCACACCACUGCCAACCAUUAGAGCUUCAUGCAUGGCCCACAGCCACCCGUCAUCCGCUCCGGCUGGGCUUCAGAAACCUUGUGGCUCGCCGGAGCCUCUCACUC